rnacentral:rRNA from 1 species
GAUGAACGCUAGCGGCAGGCCUAAUACAUGCAAGUCGGACGGGAUUCAGGAGCUUGCUUCUGAUGAGAGUGGCGCACGGGUGCGUAACACGUAUGUAACCUACCUUUAUCAGGGGGAUAGCCUCUCGAAAGAGAGAUUAAGCCCGCAUAAAAUCACAGCACAGCAUUGUGUAAUGAUCAAAUAUUUAUAGGAUAAAGAUGGGCAUGCGGAACAUUAGCUAGAUGGCGGGGUAACGGCCCACCAUGGCGACGAUGUUUAGGGGAUCUGAGAGGAUGGCCCCCCACACUGGUACUGAGACACGGACCAGACUCCUACGGGAGGCAGCAGUAAGGAAUAUUGGUCAAUGGGCGGAAGCCUGAACCAGCCAUGCCGCGUGCAGGAAGACGGCCCUACGGGUUGUAAACUGCUUUUAUACGGGAAUAAACCCGGAUACGUGUAUCUGGCUGAAUGUACUGUAAGAAUAAGGAUCGGCUAACUCCGUG